GAGGUGCCCGCGCUGCGCUUGUCUCUCCCCCGCCCCGUGACGGUCCUGGGAAAUGGCCGUCGCCCUGGGGCGGACGGAGGCGACGGGCCGCGCCUCGGUGCCGCUGGGGCUGGGGCGGGGCUGGCGGCCUGGAAAGGACCGGAGCGCGGGGAGCUCUGCCCAUGUCGCCGCGCGGUAGCCGUGGGGCGGGCGGGGCGGAAGGGCUACGCGCUUACCAGGAUGUGUCGGCGGGCGGGAGGGCUCAGCUCCUGAGCCGCCUUUCAAUGGAAACAAAACCAGUUAUCAGAAGGUAUGAAACAAGGAGGAACACAAGAAUAGAAGAACCAGCAUCCAAAUCUCGGGUUGAUUGGAGGCGGACUAAAAGAGAGACCAUAUUGCUUGACAGUGAUGAAGAACCCACAUCUGCUUCAGAAGAUGAACAACUCUCCUCGACAUCAGAAGACGAAGUGGCUGAAAAACAAGAAACUGUAGUUAAGAGGUAUAAUCUUACAGAUCAUGAGGAGAAAGGCCAUGAUGACACAGUCGUAGAGGAUGUGGAGGAUGAGUGCAUCACUCCAGGGAAGCGUAAGAGGUCAAGCACGUCUGUAAUGUAUGACAGUGACAGGAGUGAUGAUAGUGACAUCCCUGUUAGAAAAGUAUUUGCUAAACGUUAUUGCAUAAUGGAUGAAGAUGAGUGUUCUCAGGAACAAUAUAAAACUCCUACUACAGAAGACUACUUGACUAAUGGGAAACAGAAGCAGCUAAUGAAACUGAAAGAACUCGCAAGACAAAGAUCAACCCGGGCAUCCAGUAAUAGUAAAUAUUGUGGGGAUUCUGAUGAUGAUGUGGAAAUAAUAGAAGAAUCAUCCUAUCAUUUACCCCUCACACCAACAGAAAGCAGUGAUAUUGAUAAUGAUGAUGAUAGUAUGAAAGACUUUAUAGUUGAGGAUGAGGAAGAAUGUGCAGAACAUUCUGAGGAUGAAAACCAACCACAAGGGAAAGAACUGGCUACAUCAAAAUUCCAAUUACUGGACUAUUACAUUCCACGCUUCUCUCGCUGUGACCAUUAUGUCCACUUCCAAAGAGUUGUAAAAGCUUUCCUCAUCAACACAAUUGAUGACACUUUUUUGAGCUCAUUGUAUGAUGGAACAAGGCGAAAGAGAUAUGCACAAGAAAUGGUAACCUCACUCCAUUAUUUGGAUGAUCGCUUUAUUCAACCUCGUCUUGAAAACUUAAUCUCUAGAAGUCGCUGGAAAGAACGAUAUAAGGAGCGAGUGGAUUGUUACCCUGAAGUCCGCAUAGUAAUGAAGACUCCAAUAAAUAGAUCCUGUCAAGCUUGUGAACUGCAUCGGUACUGUAAGUUUGCUGUGUUGCUGUCAGGAAAGCUGUACAACUAUAGAACUUUGGAAACCGAUGACUUUAUGUUGGAUGACAAACAGGUUUUGAAGGUUGGCAGCGUGUGCGCAAAUCGUACAAGGGUUUAUCAUAAUCUGAAACAUUUUAAAUUCAAGUUGUAUCAGCGCUGCCGUUCAGUUACAGAGGUGGAGGGCAUUCAGGAUGAGCCAGUCAAAGACACAGUCGACAGGCUUUUCAAUCAAUUGGAAGAGAGUGGCUGGAUUCAGGAGUAGUCAGUCCAUUUGCUACAUGGUACAAUACUGAUGCAAGUACACCUAGAUAGUACGAUGUAUUUCAUGGAGAUAUGAUUAUCUGGAAGAAUAUAUGAAUGAUGCAGAUUACUUCCAAGAAGAGAAAAUGGACUGAGUGGUCAUGCAUCUCUUUGAAAGAAGCUUUGUAAAAAUCUCUAAUUAGCUGUGAUAUCCACCUGUCCACAAAAAAAUCUCCAAAUGCUUUUCAGGAUGUUUUCUUACACUGCAUUGUAUUUAAGUCUGUAGCUGUGCCUGUAAAUUGCUAUACAUAUAAAAAGAAAAAGCAGCAUAUUCUUUUAUACCCCUUAAUUUUAAAUGUCAAAAUAGUGAUUUAAAGAUGUUUUAUGAACUAAACAACUGUCUGUUAUGCAUAGGCCAGUUGAACUUUCCUUUGUGGUUAAAAAGACUAGUGUCCGAGUACCUAUGUAUUUAUGAAAUAAAACUUCUUAUGCCUAGCUCAAUGGCAGAGAUGUGAGAGAUGGUAAGCCCCAAUUAACCCUUUUUGGGGUAGGAAUACUUCAGUAAAAAGUAUAAAUUGCAUCCCAUCACAUCCCUGUGAACUUGAAAUGAGCAUUAACCAGUUAGCCUGGUUAUAGUGAGAAUGAAACAUAACCAGACACAUUCAUUCUUAAUCCAGUAUCAAAACCACCUUCAUUUCUCAUCCCUGGAGACCUAGAAUAGUGCAAUUUGCACAUGGUCAUAGCGUCUGUUGUGAAAGAUGUCUAUAUGUAGUACAGACGCCACAAUAGCUACUACCAUGUUCUGGAAGAUAGGUGGAUAAUUCCUGCAAAACUAACUAAUAACAGUAAUCGCCUGGCUGACGGGGGAAGCUGCACAAAACCUUGUUUGUGUUAUAUCUACUAGCAUGUGUGGUGAGGUGUCGUACCUCUCUGGGACAUGUAAAGCCCUAACCCAGCUUUCUCUCUCCUGGGUCUUCAGAGAUGUAGGAGGAGUUUAGUGAUGUGGUACACAUUAACCCCUUGGCCUACUUGCUGCACAUAAAAGAAAGCAGGCUGUGGGGGAGCAGAGAGCUUAGCGAUAAGGGGGAAAGGAAAUGCUGCUCUUUUUUGCUUGAGUUGUGGAAGAGGAUAACUACUUCAAACUCUUCUUACCUCCUGGGAAAGUGAAGGACACUUUUUACUGUUGAGUCAUUUGUUUAAACCCUACAUAGGAACAGAUAUUAAAGUGAAUGUUAUUCUUGGGGUGUAGUCUGAUCAUACCUAUGAAGAGAACCUACCGUCUAACAGUGCUUUGUAUUCAGUAUUAUAAUACUCCUGUAGUCAUGCAUACUUGUCACCCUGGGAAUGGUGGUUUUAUGGCUGAGCACGUUGCAAGGAUAGUCUGAGUUAAAUUUUUUUUUUUAAAUCAACGCAGUAAAAUGAAUCCAUAUUAAGUACAUGAUCUACUCACAGGAAGUAUUCCAGUAUCCAUACAUUUCAAUUAUGUAGGUCCUAGUGUGCCUUCACGCCACUAACUGCAUAUUGUCAGAAUAAAAUGUCAAUACAUUAAUCACCCUCCAGAUUACCUCUGGUAGAUACCCAAUUGCCCUGCUUCCCAUGCUAGCACUUAUAUAUGAUCCCUCAAGGUGUGUGGCAAAGGUAUGAGUUAACUCUGCUUUCUGCAGUGAAGACUUGCUUCCCGCCCCACUUUUUUUUCCAUUGCUAUUUGGGGCCUGAUGCAAAGCCUGUUAGAGUCAAGGGAGAGACACCUAUAUUCUUUAAUGGAUUUUGGAUCAGGCUCUUGAGGAAAAUCCUGCUAGACUUGGCCCUGAUCACAUCACUUUAUAGGAAGACCAGGCCUCUUGUACAGUGCACCAGAAGAAUAAAACCUGUGUACCGCAUUACACACCACCUUGUCAAAUGCACACCGUGCACCAGUUAUGGUUGUGCCCUGGGCAUUCACAGUUAACACUUGAGGGUGAAAUUAUUACACAGUACCACUUUACUGUUCCAUACUACUUUUCCUUUCAUGCAACUUUUUUUUUUUGACAUUUCUAAUAGUCUUCAUUUUUGCAGAUGAAUACAGUUUUGCAACAAGAAGUCUAUGUUUAACCUCCUUUGCAAAAGUGGGCAACGACACUGAUUUUUCCAGCUGAUAUUUUGUUAGCGUUCAAGAGGGUUUCUGUAUCUCUCUAACAUUUACCAUGCUUAAGAUUACACUAUUCAUGUCUAGAAGCCUUGAGCACAUCAUUGUUAAAAGGUACAACUGUGGAAAGUGGUUUUGUACUGCAUAAUGGCAGAUAUCUACUGCCACCUCUUCAGUUAAGCUGCACUGACAAAAUAGGGGAUGCAUUUUAAUAAAAAUGAAUGUGCUUUGCA